UCCGAAUUGGUGUAGUGGCUAACAUUUGACGCUCUCAAGAUUGAACAAUCACGGAACCGUCAAGCCCGGGGUUCGAUUCCCCGAUUCGGAG
rnacentral:tRNA from 1 species